rnacentral:rRNA from 1 species
CGGACGGGUGAGUAAUGCUUGGGAAUCUAGCUUAUGAGGGGGAUAACUACGGGAAACUGUAGCUAAUACCGCGUAAUAUCGAAAGAUUAAAGUGUGGGACCUUCGGGCCACAUGCCAUAGGAUGAGCCCAAGUGGGAUUAGGUAGUUGGUGAGGUAAAGGCUCACCAAGCCGACGAUCUCUAGCUGGUCUGAGAGGAUGACCAGCCACACUGGGACUGAGACACGGCCCAG